rnacentral:Y_RNA from 1 species
GGCUGGUCUGAUGGUAGUGGGUUAUCAGAACUUAUUAACAUCAGAGUCAUUAAAGUUGGCAUACAACCCCCCACUGCUAAAUUUGACUGGCUUAAA